AAAAUACCAAAAAAAAA
rnacentral:sRNA from 1 species